rnacentral:rRNA from 1 species
CCCUUGAAAUACCACCCUUUAAUGGCUGGUGUUCUAACGUAGACCCGUAAUCCGGGUUGCGGACAGUGUCUGGUGGGUAGUUUGACUGGGGCGGUCUCCUCCCAAAGAGUAACGGAGGAGCACGAAGGUUGGCUAAUCCUGGUCGGACAUCAGGAGGUUAGUGCAAUGGCAUAAGCCAGCUUGACUGCGAGCGUGACGGCGCGAGCAGGUGCGAAAGCAGGUCAUAGUGAUCCGGUGGUUCUGAAUGGAAGGGCCAUCGCUCAACGGAUAAAAGGUACUCCGGGGAUAACAGGCUGAUACCGCCCAAGAGUUCAUAUCGACGGCGGUGUUUGGCACCUCGAUGUCGGCUCAUCACAUCCUGGGGCUGAAGUAGGUCCCAAGGGUAUGGCUGUUCGCCAUUUAAAGUGGUACGCGAGCUGGGUUUAGAACGUCGUGAGACAGUUCGGUCCCUAUCUGCCGUGGGCGCUGGAGAAUUGAGGGGGGCUGCUCCUAGUACGAGAGGACCGGAGUGGACGCAUCACUGGUGUUCGGGUUGUCAUGCCAAUGGCACUGCCCGGUAGCUAAAUGCGGAAGAGAUAAGUGCUGAAAGCAUCUAAGCACGAAACUUGCCCCGAGAUGAGUUCUCCCUGAGACUUUAAGUCUCCUGAAGGAACGUUGAAGACGACGACGUUGAUAGGUCGGGUGUGUAAGCGCAGCGAUGCGUUGAGCUAACCGAUACUAAUGAACCGUGAGGCUUAACCUUACAACGCCGAAGGUGUUU